rnacentral:rRNA from 1 species
UGGGGAAUUGUUCGCAAUGGACGAAAGUCUGACGACGCAACGCCGCGUGGAGGAUGAAGACCUUCGGGUCGUAAACUCCUUUCGACCGAGAUGAAGAGACGCCCAUCUAACACAUGGGCGUAUUGACAGUAUCGAGGGAAGCAGCCCCGGCUAACUCUGUGCCAGCAGCCGCGGUAAUACAGGGGGGGCAAGCGUUGUUCGGAAUUACUGGGCGUAAAGGGUUCGUAGGUGGCUCACUAAGUCACACGUGAAAUCCCUCAGCUUAACUGGGGAACUGCGUGUGAAACUGGAGAGCUUGAGGGUAGGAGAGGAAUGCAGAAUUCCAGGUGUAGCGGUGAAAUGCGUAGAUAUCUGGAGGAAUACCGGUGGCGAAGGCGGCAUUCUGGACUAUUUCUGACACUGAUGAACGAAAGCCAGGGGAGCAAACGGGAUUAGAUACCCCCGUAGUCC